GCCUUCGUGGUGUAGUGGUCAGCACGCUCGACGCGUAUUCGAGAGGUCGUGAUUAGAAUCCCGGCGAGGGCA
rnacentral:tRNA from 1 species